rnacentral:SRP_RNA from 1 species
CCGCACAGCCGGGGAGUUGGCGGUGUCCUGUACCUGCAAUCCGCCAUAGCAGGGGUGAUAUCCUGCCGAGGAUUACAAACUGCGAAGCUGCCCUUUAUAAGCGGCGUUGAAGCCUGGGUCUCGCGCAACAGGACCCUGUGAACCGUGUCAGGCCAGGAAUGGAGCAGCACUAAGCAGGAUCUCCUGUGUGCCGUGAGGCAGCCUGGGCCGAGCAGGCUGUAAAGGUAACGUUUGCGGUGCGUUUUUCGACGCAGGAUGUGCGG